GCAAACUUGGUCAUUUAGAGGAAGUAAAAGUCGUAACAAGGUUUUCGUAGGUGAACCUGCGGAAGGAUCAUUAGUGAAUCGUGGAUUCCUCUGCAAAGAGAAGGUCCAUUUUACACUUUCACAAACACUUGUGCACUUGUUCUUUUCUUACUCUCACGAGUAGGAGAUUUACAAAACACUUGUAACAAUUUUAAUAAAAGUCAAUGAUGUAAACUUUGAUAAAUGAAAGUAAAACUUUCAGCAAUGGAUCUCUUGGCUCUCGCAUCGAUGAAGAACGCAGC
rnacentral:misc_RNA from 1 species